AUUGAACGCUGGCGGCAGGCCUAACACAUGCAAGUCGAACGGUAACAGGAAGCAGCUUGCUGCUUCGCUGACGAGUGGCGGACGGGUGAGUAAUGUCUGGGAAGCUGCCUGAUGGAGGGGGAUAACUACUGGAAACGGUAGCUAAUACCGCAUAAUGUCGCAAGACCAAAGAGGGGGACCUUCGGGCCUCUUGCCAUCGGAUGUGCCCAGAUGGGAUUAGCUUGUUGGUGGGGUAACGGCUCACCAAGGCGACGAUCCCUAGCUGGUCUGAGAGGAUGACCAGCCACACUGGGACUGAGACACGGUCCAGACUCCUACGGGAGGCAGCAGUGGGGAAUAUUGCACAAUGGGCGCAAGCCUGAUGCAGCCAUGCCGCGUUUAUGAAGAAGGCCUUCGGGUUGUAAAGUACUUUCAGCGGGGAGGAAGGGAGUAAAGUUAAUACCUUUGCUCAUUGACGUUACCCGCAGAAGAAGCACCGGCUAACUCCGUG
rnacentral:rRNA from 1 species